UGAGGCCAAUACCCCUUCCUCUACUUCAUAUAGGCUUUCUUUUUUUACUCUAUACUGUAAUCCUGAAUGCUUUCAUGCAUCUCAUGGCUUUCAUUAUCAUUUCUACUUUGAUAAGUCCCAAAAUGAUAUCUUCUGUUUAUAUUCAACUUUAGAAUGCCAGACCUGUCAUCUCUAGCUGCCUAUCUCAGAGGCACCUUAAAUUCAACCUGUUCAAAGAUCAUCUUGUGCCUUAACCCAGAUUCACUGCUUCUCCAAUGUUCCCUGUUCCAGUUUAUAGCAACACCAUCCUCAGUUUCUCAUUCCAAAAGCCCAGGAGUAAUGUGCUGAGGAUAACAGUGAACAGGAGUUGGCUCUGUGAAGGACCUGAAAUGUGAGGAGGACAGACUGAGAGAAGAUCACCUGCAAACUCUCUGAAGCAGAUGGUGUAGUCUGUGUAGCACUAGAAUGCAGAUGUCCACUUCACAUGAUGAAGGAAGGAUACGUCUAUUGAGAAAUUGCACGCCAAGUAAAAUCCUGAGAUAAACAACUUCAUACAAGAGAAACUGACAGUUUACCAUACAUUUUUGGAAUUUAAAGAGUUGUUGUGGUGUGCUUUCUUUUUGUGCAAAUUAUGGAAUAGAUGAAAGUGACAGAGUGAUGACACCACCUAAAUGGAAGCAUAAUGUAGACGGUUAUUGCAGAUGCCUUACCACACAGCUCUGCCAGCGCACAUGCUUCCUGCAAACCUCCUGCAAUUUAAACCCUUGGGCUCCUUCAACUAAUGACGCUAAUUUGCCAAUGGAGCAAUGGCUUUCUUCGCUAAACACUCACCUACAAAGGAGUAUGUAUUAGCCGACAAUGUAUGUGCUCAGUAAAAACUGGCAAUAUAACAUGCACAUUUUAAAUAUAAAGACCACUUUCAUCACUACAUUAAAUCAUAGGGAUUGAUUUAAUAAAUCACAGUGUAAAUAA
rnacentral:lncRNA from 1 species